rnacentral:lncRNA from 9 species
AUCCACCAUCUGCACCCUCCCGGAAAAGGGAAAAGUUUAAUUUUGCAUAAGCAUCUUGCAAGGAAAGUGGUGGUGCUCACCAUUAUCUGAAUUCCUUUCUUUUAACUUACAGCGCUAUUGUCCUGCAUUCCCCAUUACCUUGCCUUUGUUGGGGCUAUAUUACUGGGUUCUGAUCUGCAAAAUUUGAGCAGAAAUUAUGAGCAGCACUGCCAGAUAUGGCCUCUAAAAUCUCAUGAAAUCUUCCAUGUCCUUUUCUUCCCUAUUCUCUCAUGUAGUUGCAGACAUCCGGAAGAGGACUUGGGAAAACAGUGGAGCACAGGAUGGAAAAACGCCUUGUUUCUUAACCACCAUGUGGAAACAACUACUGACACUUAAUGAAGCAGAAGAAAAUGUUCAGCUCAGUCCAAUGGAAAUUUAAUGAGUCCUCGCUCUGUUCCAGUCACCUUGUGGAACUCUGAGGUGCACAACAAAGAAAAUGGAGUUUCUAAUGCAGCCAUACUUAUAGUCAAGAGGAACUUAGAUAACUAAAUCAGAUUGCGUACUCAAGUCUUGUGGACUUUCUAAUGAGGCACAAUAACAACAAAGAAAAUCAAAGCAAACUAAAUAAAACAAAUUCUGCAAAGGUUAUACCAGUCAUAAAACCAUUAGCAGUUUCAUUAUAAACAUUUCCUUUUCUUUCCCCCAUCCUCUCUUCACUAUAACUCUCUCACUACAUAAAUAAAAGUACCUGAAAUAUUUCCAUUUGAGAAGUGGAAGCUAUGAAAAUUAGGUAAUUCAUCUGUCCUUUCCGGAAGCCCUUAACAAGUGUGGGAGAAGGAACCCAGGCCUCUGGCAUUUCAUUUAGUGGAAGAAUUGAAAUUGGAAGACUGUGCUCAAGUCUGGCCCCAGCACGUCCUGUUUCUGGAACCUAUUUACUGUAAGCUUUGUAACUUUGGAAGAAUCUUUUAGGUUUGUAGCACCUUAACUCAUUCACCUGUAAAAUGGCCUAUAAUACCUUUCCUUUCCACCUGACCAGGUUGAAAUGAUGCAUAAAUGAAAUAAUAUAUGUGAG